rnacentral:rRNA from 1 species
AUUGAACGCUGGCGGCAGGCCUAACACAUGCAAGUCGAACGAGUGGCGGACGGGUGAGUAAUGUCUGGGAAACUGCCUGACGGAGGGGGAUAACUACUGGAAACGGUAGCUAAUACCGCAUACCAUCGGAUGUGCCCAGAGGGGAUUAGCUAGUAGGUGGUGUAACGGCUCACCUAGGCGACGCUCCCUAGCUGGUCUGAUAGGAUGACCAGCCACACUGGAACGGAGACACGGUCCAGACUCCUACGGGAGGCAGAAGAGGGGAAUAUUGCAAAAGGGGCGCAAGCCUGAUGCAGCCAUGCCGCGUGUAUGAAGAAGGCCUUCGGGUUGUAAAGUACGUUCAGCGGGGAGGCGUUACCCGCAGAAGAAGCACCGGCUAACUCCGUGCCAGCCGCCGCGGUAAUUC